AGUGAACGCUGGCGGUAGGCCUAACACAUGCAAGUAGAACGGCAGCACAGUAAGAGCUUGCGCUUACGGGUGGAGAGUGGCGGACGGGCGAGGAAGACAUCGGAAUCUACUUUUUCGGGGGGGAUAACGUAGGGAAACUUACGCUAAUACAGCAUACGACCUACGGGUGAAAGCAGGGGUUCUUCGGACAUUGCGCGAAUGAAUGAGCCGAUGUCGGAUUAGCUAGUUGGCGGGGUAAAGGCCCACCAAGGCGACGAUCCGUAGCUGGACUGAGAGGAUGAUCGGCCACACUGGACCUGGGCCACGGUCCAGCCUCCUACGGGAGGCAGCGGUGGGGAAUAUUGGCCAAUGGGGGCAGUCCUGAUCCAGCCAUACCGCUUGGGUGAAGAAGGUCUUCGGGUUGUAAAGCCCUUUUGUUGGGAAAGAAAAGCAGCAGGUUAAUACCCCGCUGUUCUGACGGUACCCAACGAAUAAGCACCGGCUAACUUCGUG
rnacentral:rRNA from 1 species